rnacentral:lncRNA from 1 species
CGGGCCGCGCUGCCCGUCCGAGUCCCGUGACGGGAGCGGGCGGCCGGCAGCGGGCAAGGGAGCCGGCGGUGCCCGGGACCCCCGGUGCGGGCUGCCCCCGGCGGGCUCCCAUUGGCCGCGGGGCGGGACGUGCCGCCCGCUCCGGCCCUAUAUCAGGGCAAUAUUGCCCCGGCGGGGCGCGGGGCAGGUGUCGGAGCGGCGCUGCCCGCGCAGGCAUGGACCUGGGGUACAUCUCCAUCGGGCUGUGCCGCGGGGUCCCGGUGCCCCCCUGCCCGCGACGGGGACCCGGAUCCUUCCCCCCGCCGGACAUCGCGGCCCCCCCCCCCCCCCCCCCCCCCCCCGGGGGGGCGCCCGGGCCCCUCCCCCCCCCCGGACACCGCGGCCCCCCCCCCGCCGCCUGCCUGCGCGGGGUGCGCGGCGGUCCCGUGCCCCGGCUACGAGCGGCCCCGCGGAGCUGGGACACCGGGAGAGCGCUGCAGGGACCCACCGCGCCCCGACGACUCCGGGACCCGCCGCCCGACCCCUCCGGAGUUCGGCCGCCCCCGGCCCCGUCCCGGCUCCCCGACCCCCGGGACGGCCCCGGCGGCGCCCCGCACCUUCGAGUGGAUGCGAGUGAAGCGGAGCCCGUCCGGGAGAAGCGGCGCGGCGCCUCCCGCCUGCCCCCUGCGCACCAGCUUCAGCACCCGGCAGCUCACGGAGCUGGAGAAGGAGUUUCACUUCAGCCGCUACCUGUCGCGGGCCCGCCGCCUCGAGGUGGCCCGCUCGCUGCGCCUCCGCGACGCCCAGGUGAAGGUCUGGUUCCAGAACCGCCGCAUGAAGCAGAAGAAGCGGGAGCGGGAGGCGCUGGCAGCCCCCCGGGCAGCCCCGGGGAGCCCCCCCUGAGCCCCGCCUGGGCGUCGGGGCUGCGGCCGGCUCCUCCGUCAGGGCCGGCCCCGCUUUCGCUGCCGCUUACCUGCGGCCGUGUCGCGGAGCAUGUGCAGGGAAAGUUGCUGCCGGCCCCAAGCGCCGCUGUUCGGCUCCGUCUUGGAGCCCCCGGCCGGGCCCAGCCAGCAGCCGUCGGGGAGCGGUGGGGGGUACCGGGGGCCCCGAGCUGCCGCCCUCUCCUGCGUUUAUUUCGUGGGAAGGGAGCUGCGCGGGGCGGCGGCACGGCGGGUGGGCGCGCACGGCUUCUGGCAGCGCUCCUGCAGGAGCCGGGGGAGCCUCGACGGGGCAGGGCAGAGCGCGGAGGGCUUCCCCUCACGGCGACGGAAAGGAUGCGCGCCGGUACCAAGCGUGGCGCGGAGCCCCCUUAGGACAAGCGCCCUUAUCUUCGUCCCCGGGGCCACAGUGGCGGGGCCCAGCCGGUGCCCUCCCACGGCUCCCCCCC